GUCCAGCUGACGAGCCCCAAAUAGGACGAAACGUGUCUUGUCCUGGAU
rnacentral:hammerhead_ribozyme from 1 species